AUGUACAGCCUUGGGAAGUGAUCUCAUUUUCUGAAAACCAUAGGUCUGUGUAACAAUUACAGUACAGUCUCUAAACUUGCAUUUACGGUCGGGAAAAGGGAAAAGUUUUUAGGCUAUGCAGAUGCCAAUAAUCAGACUGUAGUUAUGUUUUAGGGCAUCCUGCUACCCUUUUCAAAACAUGAACUUGAGGGUUCUGAAUUGUUAAAAAUACUGACCGCAAGAGCUUAUUUUCUAGAUAAUUUUCUCUGUAUUGGAAUAUAUUCCACUUGCCAUUUGGAGAGGGAAAAAUGCAAGAGCAGAAGCACUUCUGAACCUUGGUCCACAUUAUUGAAGACCACUGUUGUGAAAGCAACUGUAAAGAGAUCAUUUAAAGUCGAGCAGUGAUACUGCUCACCAUGUCA